CCGCCUCUUUGGUCGGUUUCGGUACGCCAACAGACCGCCGAACGGACAGGAUUUUCCCUGUACCGCAGACAGAGUCUCCCCCGUACAUUCAAGGCGUCACAAUCCAUACAAAGCGCGAGGUUCCAAACAGGAACAAUACUUAACAACGAUUGUAUAAGGAAGGUAUCAAACAACAUAACACAUCCUAUGUUAUUACAAGCAUUCCCAUUAGAUUCAUUUUUACAUCACACUUACAUAUUAAUAUUUACAUCACAUUAUACAUUCCUUGAUUCAUACAUCCAAAUACAAUCAAGUUCUUUCAAUUAUUGCAUUCUUGGUUCUUUUCAUUUUUAUACCCCUAAGUAGCCGACUCGGGAUACUGCUAUCUGGUCUCGGUGGUAGGGCGCUAACUACGGAGCUACGCCCUUGCCUCGCGCCGCCGCGCCGCUCACGUGCGAACCUGUAACACCCCAAAACAACGUGGGGUGAGAACCAACUCCAUGGUUCCCAGUGGGUACGGCCACCCAAGGGAAAAGCUCGACCGAUAGGUCCAAGGAGGCACUGCAAUCAUGUUAGUCCAAAAACAUCUACAGAUAUAUAUAUCAUCAUGUAAUUAUGCAACUAACAGAUAAC
rnacentral:lncRNA from 1 species